AUCAUUGUAUGUAGUAAUGUGUUGUUGUUCCCCAGGUGGCUGAAGGCCAGGAGAUCUGUGUGAUCGAGGCCAUGAAGAUGCAGAACAGUUUGAUUGCUGUUAAAGCUGCCAAGGUGAAGAGUGUCCACUGUAAAGCAGGAGAGACGGUUGGAGAGGGAGACCUUCUGGUCCAACUGGAGUAGCAUCUAACCUCCGACCUCUAACCUCUGCCCUCCCACCUCUGACCUCGCUCGCCAGGGAUUGGCUUCGAAGUCCGGUUGAAGGAAUUCUGGGACAAAGGAAUGAACAGGAUACUUGUAGACUAGAUGGACCGUUCCCCAGUCUGUCCUUGUUGUUUUGUUCUGGUGUUUUGGUCUUCCUGUGGUACUAGUAGGCUACACUCUCCAGUAUUGGCUUCUGGGAUUCGCUCGUUCUAGGAAUUUUCCACGCAAAAACURAAAAACAAGAUGGACGCUGUGGACCUGUUUUAGUGCCUUCAGCCUCUGAAAGGAGGAUUGUCCUGUUAAAUAUGACGAAUACUGUAUAUAUCACUUAGCUACAUGUCACUAAUCAUGUGUAAUGUACUUCCUCGCUAGCCUGGUCUCAGAUCUGUUUGUGCCAUCUUGCCAGGACAUCUGGGACCAGGCUAGCGCCUCACAUUUCAAUGUAAUGAAACACUUGUGUAUCAGAGGUUAGGAACCUGGUUAUAGUAAAAGGCUACUCCCUUGGGUGGAGUUGCGUUUGUCCUUUUUAAAGGACGUCUCUCAACCCCUUUGACAUUGUAAAGAAAUAAUGCAUUCAGGUGAGACGUUGUGGAUGAGGGGACAUGCUCAUGAAUAUUCAUUUUGGGGGCGGGUAAAUGUAGUUGUACCUGAUACCCAACACUCUCUCACUGAAGUAUACUUACCAGAAGUCCACUGGCACGCUCUGAUAAUAACAUGAUGUGCAUCGCGAGCAAAUACGGCUCUGGAAAGUUAGCUCACAGUUAUGUGCUGACUUCCUGACAUCUAUUGCCACCUGCAGUGUAAGUUCAAAUCCCUUAUGGGGGGGGGGUUUGAAAUGUGGACUCAUAUUUACUGCGGUAUUGUUGUUGGGAGGAAAGUGAAAUCAUCACCUUGUAAAUGAAGGAGCUCAACUCAAUCCAACCCGUGCCAGUGUUUACGCACUAUCUUCUUCUUUCCAAUGGUCAAAUGAACUCACAGACUGGUCUUGGGUACUGAGUAUGAAAACCUACAACUACUACCGGGCGACCCCUCUCACAGGUAUCUUUCACUUUUCACAAUUACAAGUGUGUUGUGUGUGGUCACGGGAUGAAUAUAGGAAAUAAAGGAUUUGAAGAACAAA